AUUUGUGGAACACAUUUAAAAUGCAGAUCAUCUCAACUUGUACAAUCCUCUUUAUUUUGAUAUUAAAUAUGUUGUGUACAGGCCAAGAAAACAAUGACUGGAACAUCACUUUCAAUCCACCAGAAGUUACUGCAGUUGCAGGAUUAUGUGUUCUCAUUUCAUGUACCUUCACUUAUCCAGAUGAAGCAAAACCUAGUAAUGUUCUGUGGAAUGAGUGUAAUAAAAAAGGAAACUGUAAGAAUGAAAUAUUCAACUUAAGAUAUGUGACAGAAGAAAAGGUGAAUGGGACUGAAGAAAAGAAAAACAUUAAACCAGGACGGAUUGAGAUGCUUGAACCUGAUCUGACCAAAAACAACUGCAGCAUCAUCAUGAAAACCAUAACAGCAAGUGAUAAAAAAGAAUAUAUGCUCAGACUGGAGGAGUCUGGUCGAAACACAUAUAACCUCACAGUUAAGAUCAUAAUCCAAGGUAACGCUUACUUAUGUUUGGCAAUGUUAAACAGGUCCUGCGUUUUUGUGUAGUCUGAUGUUCUCUUUCAGUUAUCUGUUGNCAACGUUGACCUUAACUCCAACCUCUGACCUGCACAAUGCCACUGUAACAUGUGAAGUGAGCUACGGAAGCAAAAACAUCAGUACAAGUAGGACCCUCGAAGUCAUGUGUGAGUACAACUACUACUAGACCAUUACAUAAAGCAAAAUUUCAGAAAUACAGCAAAAUGUUCAGUUUAGAAGACUUCCAUCUUCUACUCUUCUUGGAUGUUCUGUAGAGUAUCUCUGGGAUAUUCAAAAAGUAGAAUUAAAAGGAUUUAUUUUUUGGAUACCAGUGAAUAUGGUGUCAAAAACAAUGAACAUCUGAACAAUGAAAUGAAAAUGUGUAAAUGUGUCAGCAGCUGUUGAAAUAUUGAAUUGCUACACACGUCUUUGCAGGGGGCAGCCCUAAAGCCAAAACAUUUGUCUUUACUAAUUAUAAUAUCAAAUUCAUUACAUGCUAGGUGAUACAAAUGAACUGAAAGUGAACGGUCCUGGAAGUGAAAACAUGCCACUGAAUGACACCACCACAAAAACUACAGGUAAUACAGAGAAUUCACAUACUGCAGACACUGAGUGUUUAUUUCAGGGCGAUUAUGAUUUCGCCAAUUAGGACAUUUUUCUUAUUUGACAUCUUUGCAGGUUCUUGAACAACAUUGUUUUCAACCAAUCAGAUAUUAGGAGCAGGUUUAGGGACAUGGUUAUGU
ensembl:lncRNA